rnacentral:rRNA from 1 species
AAAUUGAAGAGUUUGAUCAUGGCUCAGAUUGAACGCUGGCGGCAGGCCUAACACAUGCAAGUCGAGCGGUAGCACAGAGAGCUUGCUCUCGGGUGACGAGCGGCGGACGGGUGAGUAAUGUCUGGGAAACUGCCUGAUGGAGGGGGAUAACUACUGGAAACGGUAGCUAAUACCGCAUAACGUCGCAAGACCAAAGUGGGGGACCUUCGGGCCUCAUGCCAUCAGAUGUGCCCAGAUGGGAUUAGCUAGUAGGUGGGGUAACGGCUCACCUAGGCGACGAUCCCUAGCUGGUCUGAGAGGAUGACCAGCCACACUGGAACUGAGACACGGUCCAGACUCCUACGGGAGGCAGCAGUGGGGAAUAUUGCACAAUGGGCGCAAGCCUGAUGCAGCCAUGCCGCGUGUGUGAAGAAGGCCUUCGGGUUGUAAAGCACUUUCAGCGGGGAGGAAGGCGGUGAGGUUAAUAACCUCAUCGAUUGACGUUACCCGCAGAAGAAGCACCGGCUAACUCCGUGCCAGCAGCCGCGGUAAUACGGAGGGUGCAAGCGUUAAUCGGAAUUACUGGGCGUAAAGCGCACGCAGGCGGUCUGUCAAGUCGGAUGUGAAAUCCCCGGGCUCAACCUGGGAACUGCAUUCGAAACUGGCAGGCUAGAGUCUUGUAGAGGGGGGUAGAAUUCCAGGUGUAGCGGUGAAAUGCGUAGAGAUCUGGAGGAAUACCGGUGGCGAAGGCGGCCCCCUGGACAAAGACUGACGCUCAGGUGCGAAAGCGUGGGGAGCAAACAGGAUUAGAUACCCUGGUAGUCCACGCCGUAAACGAUGUCGAUUUGGAGGUUGUGCCCUUGAGGCGUGGCUUCCGGAGCUAACGCGUUAAAUCGACCGCCUGGGGAGUACGGCCGCAAGGUUAAAACUCAAAUGAAUUGACGGGGGCCCGCACAAGCGGUGGAGCAUGUGGUUUAAUUCGAUGCAACGCGAAGAACCUUACCUGGUCUUGACAUCCACAGAACUUAGCAGAGAUGCUUUGGUGCCUUCGGGAACUGUGAGACAGGUGCUGCAUGGCUGUCGUCAGCUCGUGUUGUGAAAUGUUGGGUUAAGUCCCGCAACGAGCGCAACCCUUAUCCUUUGUUGCCAGCGGU